GCUUCCUCAGCUUCACUCUUUGUGUCUGCCGGCUCUGUGGUUGCCAGUGGCCAAAGGCCCACCAGACAGCCACGGCGGCCAGCAGCAGGACAAACGCAGCCAUCAGGACGUCACCGUCACCCAUGGCUCCGGCAGGUCCCAUCGUGACUGCACUGGCAGCUGUGGGUGCUGGCCCGUCUCACACAGCGACAGCGCGCUGAUGUCACAGCGAUGUCACAGUGCUGCGGCCAGCACAGCCCUGGGACAUCACAGCCCUGCCUGACGCCAGCACUCUGCCCCUUUGUGCCAUCACAGCCCUGCCUCGGCCCCGCCCUCCGCAGUGCCCCAGGAGGGAUAAAGGGGCUCCCUAUGGGCACUUGCAAGACCCAGCUCUUUGCCGCUUCCCCGGGAAGAAAAUGGAUCCUAUCCCAUUGAAAGCCAGUACAUUAGCCCAUUCUUCACCCAGCACACCCUGUCUCUAUUUGUCUCACAGCUGGACACCUGCACCAGGUGUAUUCUGCGAGGGACAGGAUCAAAACUCCACUUAAAACCCUGAAAUAGAAUCUGCAUUGCCUUCCCAUCGUCCAUGAGACCGGGUGACCUUCUGUUAGGGUGUGGGAUUCCUUAAAAUCAGAGGGUUUUGGGCACGUUGUAAAAGUCAGACCUCAGAGACAGCAGGAUGGUGAUUUAGAGCUAAGCAGUAGCUAUAAGAUUGGUCAGCAGAAAAAUUAUACAAGAAGUAGAAAGAAAGAACAAAUAGAACUAUGGUCUGUGUAUUAACGUCUGGGUAGAAUAACUUCCUACGUUGCAGAAAAGUAUAUCUGGUGAGAUAUUAGGAAGUUCUAAGAUUAAUAAUGGAGCUAUGUGCAUUGUAUCUUAAGGCUUACAGGCAAGUAUUGUAUUUGAAAUAAGCAAGCAUUGUUUUAACCAAAGGUAUGUGUAUUUAUAGUGAUUGGCUAGAACUACUGUCAAUAUGCUUUUGCUUUGUGUGAUUGGUCAUAAAGUUUAUAAAGUAAGUUGUAACAUGAAGUUCUUGGUCUGUUGCUUGGGAAUGUGAGCUGCUGGCAUCUUCCCAUUGUCAUAACCAUGUAAUGAGACUGAUGCUAAAAAAUAAACAGCUUAAGUCGCAUACCACAGCAGUCCUGUCCAGUUUGUGACUUGUAUAGAGCCCCCGGCCGGCGAUAAUAUAGCAUUCAAUAUUUUUAUACAGCAUGACUUCUCAUUACCUAAUAAAAUGAUUUGUAGAAAUGAAUUGGAAAACAGGAAAUAAACCAAGAAAAAUAUUCAAGCUAUAAAAGAUGUGAGUUUUCUCUCACAGGUCAAGAUUUUCUUUGUAUUUCAGAUGAAAAAUAUUAGGAAGCUAAAUGGUCACCCAUUCUUUUAAAAAGUAUCUGGAUAUCCAAGAGAUAUAAAUUUCGGCAGGACUUGUAUGUCAGGUAUUCCUGAAAACCUUGAUUUCACUGCUGCCCGACCUUGAUUCAAUCCACUUAAAUGCAGCUGUAUUCCAGGUGCUCAGUGAAAUUCUCCAUGGAAUGCAUAUUGUUUAGAAAUCAUCUGCAGAAAAAGCUAGAUACAUCUGAAGAUCUUUUUUUGGGAAUGGCAUUUCAGUUCUUUGUACAAACACACAGAUGGGAUUUCUGCUGUCUUCUUCAGGCCACUUCCUCCAGAGACCUCUCUAUUAAAUCUCUCUAGUUCUACCCUUCUGGUGAUCCAAAGUCAGCACUGGCAUUGUCCAACUGCGUGGAAUUACUGCAUGCUACAGCCGCGCACUGAGGGCUUCUGUGUGCAGCAUCAUGGCAAAUCUGGGAGAAGACAUCUGAAAGGGGACACCCCCAGAAAGCCAACCCACAUGGCCUCUCCCCCCAACCGGUUUGGGAAAAAUUUCCUGGGAGAGAAGUGGAAGAAACCUGUUGAUUUAACAGGCAAAGCACUCCCCAGCACAAAAAAUGAACACUAGCAGAUGACAAAGCUCAUUUGAUGCUCUGAAGAGAUGACAACAAGGUCAGAAAGUCUCUCCUGUGGCUGGUCGCUCUGUUAUCAGUCCCUGCGGCACUUGGAAAGGCUGCUGCCCAGAGUAGGUCACCAAGUAAAAGCUCUCACUGCUCCCCGAGUCCCAGUCCGGGGCAGGUUCAAACAGGUCCAAGAAAAGGGAAAGGAAAAGCAACUGUCCAGGGAAAACUUCUCUGCCUCAGCAGCUAAACUAACUAAAAAGCAAAGAAGUGCUCUCUUCUGCUCCGUCCGUGCCCAGACAGCACAGUCCAGCGCAGAAUGUGGAGGAGUGUUGCUUGUAGAGGAGUGAGUGCAGUCUCUGAUAACCAACUCCGUGCUUUGUCUUCUCCUUGCCUUCACUCUCAGAACCAGUCUUGAAGGCACAGAAUAUAAUAGCCAGCAUCAACAGAACAGACCGCUGGGGAUACAAGCAUCAGAAAGUCACCCUGGGACACUGCUCUAUUGAGAGAUGUCACCAGACUAUGCUAAGACCAAUUUCCAGAAUAAUAUUCAAAUUCUGUAAUCACAGUGGAAAGCUGAGGAGGAAACAUCGUUCACUUCAGUUACCUUGUGGCAUGCCAGUACUUCCUUUCAAUCCCAAUGUUUUUUGGUUUUAAUCCCAUGACAUCACAGGCAUAACUAAACAUCUUUGGAGCAGGAAGGAAGAUAUUAUUCUUCUCAUGAUACUGAUGGGUAAGCUGAAAUGCAAAGCUGCUUAUUCAAAGUGAAGAAGCAAUAAAGUCAAUUGUAAAACU